CUACAUCACUUCUAGAGCUAUUUUGUCCACACGCAAUGAUUGGGUUGAUAGGAUUAAUAUGAAGAUGAUUGGAUCUUUCCAAGGUGGGGAGGUGGAGUAUCAUAGUUUUGAUUCUACUGUAGAUGAUCCACACAACUAUUAUCCAUCAGAGUUUCUUAACACCCUUACACCCAAUGGAUUGCCUCCACAUGAUGUGUUAAAGCUAAAGGUGGGUUGUCCAAUAAUAUUGCUUCGGAACAUUGAUCCUGCAAAUGGUUUAUGUAAUGGUACGAGGUUAGUUGUCCGUGGUUUCCAAAGAAAUACUAUAGAUGCUGAAAUCGUGUUGGGCCAGCAUGCUGGAAAACGAGUUUUCCUCCCUCGGAUACCCAUAUGCCCCUCUGAUGACGAGAUGUUCCCGUUUCAAUUCAAAAGAAAAUAGUUUCCUAUCCGGCUCAGUUUUGCCAUGACGGUCAACAAGUCACAAGGUCAGACUAUUCCUAACGUCGGUGUUUACCUCCCUGACCCCGUGUUCUCACAUGGGCAAUUGUAUGUUGCAAUGUCAAGGGCAACUGCUAGAACAAACAUCAAGAUUCUAGCACUUCCACCGAAUGCCACUGAGCUCGAGGAAGAAGCUAAAAAGGAAAAGAAAAUUGCUAAAAAAAGGGUAAGGACACUGUCAAUAACAAGAAAGAAAAGAAAAAGAUUCCAGUAUAUACAUGUACGAAGAAUAUUGUAUACAAGGAGGUCCUAACGGGAUAAUACAAAGAUUUGUGUGACAAUGUGUUCAUCUGCCUCUGUCCAAGAAAAUCAAAAAAAACUCGGCCGGGUGGGGAAAGACCGCCCCACCGGUAUUGACUUUCUAGAAGAAGCAUCGGCUUCCCCGACCGAGAAAAUCCCCGAACCCUGGCCCCGCCCUGACACUGGG